rnacentral:rRNA from 1 species
UAAGGAAUAUUGGUCAAUGGAGGCAACUCUGAACCAGCCAUGCCGCGUGAAGGAUUAAGGCCCUCUGGGUUGUAAACUUCUUUUAUAUGGGAAGAAAUGUACUUUUUCUAAAGUGCUUGACGGUACCAUAGGAAUAAGCACCGGCUAACUCCGUGCCAGCAGCCGCGGUAAUACGGGGGGUGCAAGCGUUAUCCGGAUUUACUGGGUUUAAAGGGUGCGUAGGCGGAUGAAUAAGUCAGUGGUGAAAUCUCCGAGCUUAACUCGAAAACUGCCGUUGAUACUAUUUGUCUUGAAUAUUGUGGAGGUAAGCGGAAUAUGUCAUGUAGCGGUGAAAUGCUUAGAUAUGACAUAGAACACCAAUUGCGAAGGCAGCUUGCUACACAAUCAUUGACGCUGAGGCACGAAAGCGUGGGGAUCAAACA